CACUCCUACGGGAGGCAGCAGUGGGGAAUUUUGGACAAUGGGCGAAAGCCUGAUCCAGCCAUGCCGCGUGCAGGAUGAAGGCCUUCGGGUUGUAAACUGCUUUUGUACGGAACGAAACGGCCUUUUCUAAUAAAGAGGGCUAAUGACGGUACCGUAAGAAUAAGCACCGGCUAACUACGUGCCAGCAGCCGCGGUAAUACGUAGGGUGCAAGCGUUAAUCGGAAUUACUGGGCGUAAAGCGUGCGCAGGCGGUUAUGUAAGACAGUUGUGAAAUCCCCGGGCUCAACCUGGGAACUGCAUCUGUGACUGCAUAGCUAGAGUACGGUAGAGGGGGAUGGAAUUCCGCGUGUAGCAGUGAAAUGCGUAGAUAUGCGGAGGAACACCGAUGGCGAAGGCAAUCCCCUGGACCUGUACUGACGCUCAUGCACGAAAGCGUGGGGAGCAAACAGGAUUAGAAACCCGAGUAGUCCC
rnacentral:rRNA from 1 species